GCCCAGACUCCUACGGGAGGCAGCAGUGGGGAAUAUUGCACAAUGGGGGAAACCCUGAUGCAGCAACGCCGCGUGAGUGAAGAAGUAUCUCGGUAUGUAAAGCUCUAUCAGCAGGGAAGAAAAUGACGGUACCUGACUAAGAAGCCCCGGCUAACUACGUGCCAGCAGCCGCGGUAAUACGUAGGGGGCAAGCGUUAUCCGGAUUUACUGGGUGUAAAGGGAGCGUAGACGGUGUGGCAAGUCUGAAGUGAAAGCCCGGGGCUCAACCCCGGGACUGCUUUGGAAACUGUCAUGCUGGAGUGCUGGAGAGGUAAGCGGAAUUCCUAGUGUAGCGGUGAAAUGCGUAGAUAUUAGGAGGAACACCAGUGGCGAAGGCGGCUUACUGGACAGUAACUGACGUUGAGGCUCGAAAGCGUGGGGAGCAAACAGGAUUAGAUACCCGCGUACAC
rnacentral:rRNA from 1 species